UAUGUAUGUAUGUAUGUAUGUAUGUAUGUAUGUAUGUAUGUAUGUAUGUAUGUAUGUAUGUAUGUAUGUAUGUAAUUGUGUAAAUGCCCCGUACUGCGCUUUGAUGACUUAAAAGUGCAGAAAUUGGUAUAAACGGGUCAAAACAGCAAAGUAGGAAAGAUAUGCAGAAGCUACCGUAAAUUACGGUACCACCGUAAUUUACGGUGGAGGGUAAAUCUUUACGGUGGUUCUUUACUGAUUUACGGUAGAACCAUAAACGUCCAGCGCCCACCGUAAAUUACGGUGACCACCGUAAUUUACGGUGGAGCCCAGCCAAAAUUGUCAAGUUAUGUAUAAUUUCACAUUUCGAAUCCGUUUUAAGCGUAUACUUAAUUAUGUGAAAAUUGAAGGAUUCUAACAUUAUUAUCUUGUUAAAUUUGUAUGUAUGUAGAUGUGAAUGUAUGUUUGUAUGUAAGUACGUAUGUAAGCAUGAUUUAGACACGUUGAGUGUUAACGUUUUUAAUGGUGUACCUUGAGAAUGAAAAGUAAUGCAGGUACAUUACUGAAGCCUCACCAGGAAAUGGAUACGCAGAUGAAAUGCUUAAAGUUUGAAAAAUGACGAAUAGUGAAGUGUACGUGAAUGAAUCUUGUUUAUAUAAUGUGUGCUAAUGUAUGAAUGAAUGUGGUGAGUGCAGGUUGUACGAAUCACGGAUUAACCUCACAAGGAGUAGCGAUUCGAAGACCGUGUCACAAGAUGGAUUGUACGGGAAUGUUUACAUAUGUAAUUUAGUGAUGAUAAGUUAUGUUUUUAUAUUUUAAAGUGGACUUUCAAGUAAGACAAAACGUUUAUAAUGAAUGAAAUUUUAGGGUACGUAUUUCCGCUGCGACUUAUGGUCAAAUGUGAUUUAGGGUCUUACAAGUUGGUAUCAGAGCCCUGGUUUGAGGGAAUCAGGUACGAGAAGGUAAGUACUUGAACUCAAACUUGUGUGCUCUUGAGAUAAGAAACCCGUACAAUCUAAGACUCGAUCAAGAUCCAAAGGUAAAGGCUAAUGUAAGUAUGUACCUAUAUAUACGUAUAAAGAACUGACGGUUUUGUAUGUACAAGGUAAGCAUAAGUGUUGGUAGAGGAUGAUCUGUGAAUGCAGUCUAGGAUGAAUACCAAGGCAGGCAAAGAGGUAAUAAGACAAAUAGGCAUAUGAGCCCAGGUAUGUAAAUUCAAUAUGUGGGUGUAAGAAAUGGUAAAAUUCAUUUAGGGAAGGAAAUUUUUUUUUAAAUGAAAGACAAUGAUUGUAUAGUAAUGAAGUACUGGAAAUGAUACACGAGCCGAAACCUAAGCCUACGGACAUAAGGUGACAAUUACAUGAAGGCACGAAACUACUAUGUGGAUUGUGUACCUGGCCAGUACACAAGAAACGUACGACGUUCGUGAGAUCAUGAUAAUUGUUACAGGUAUGUCCGGCAGAGUUGGGUAGCAGGCGGGCGUGUGGUUGAAACGGGAAGUAAGACUCUCGGGAAAUCGAGAGUACUAUGAAAGAAUGAAAAACAUGCCUGACAAGAAUGAAGAAUGUUGAAUCCGUAAUUAAGUACGGAUCAACAAGAUAUGAAUAAUAUGUUUGAAUCUGUGAGACGGAUUCAAGGAUGAAUGGUAUGGAUGCAAUGAUUGAAUCCUUAAGACGGAUUCAAAGAAUGAAAGAUGUGAAUGCACUGCUUGAAUCCGCGAGACGGAUUGAAGGAAUGAAAGGCAUGAAUGAAAUAUUUGAAUCCGUGAGACGGGUUCAAAUGAUGAAUAAUGCAUUCGAAUCCGUGAAACAGAAUUAAGGUAUAAAAGAUGAAACUAGUCUACAUAGGAAGUGUCGAUAGUCUGAUCGUGGUCGUGUCAAAUGAGUCAUAUGGGUAAAUGUGAAUUAAAUAAACAAAAGAAUGAUCGUAAUGAGCAUGUAGACCUAAGUUAUAAAACGAAAGAAGGAAGUUUUUGAACAAGUUAUGUGUUAAAUGUGUUAGAAAUCGACUCUUAGGAGUCGGAAUGAAUGACGGGCUAUGACCCAGAGAACGGUUUAAGUAUGAACAAGAAGGGUAAGUUUGUUAAGAAUACCAAAAUGAUGUAAUGAAUGUCUUUGUAAGUAAGCAUGAAUGGAAGGAAGCACGAAUGUGUACUUCAAUGCAUCUAUGAUAAGUAAGAAAAUUUGGUUUAACCUUAAAAGGUCAAACUGCAAAGGUUGACGAAAUAAGUAACUAAAAUGAAAGAAUUGCGUGUAAGAAAUGGAAUGUAAGAUAUGUUAUAGCAUGUACGCAGGAAAUAUGUAAAAGAAUUAUAGGUGACUAAUCACCUAGUAGACUCAGUAUUUGAAUGAGAUAUGCUAACCGCCAAUUUUGUAGGUGGUGAUGUUAGAAUUCCUAGUGUGAUAAAACCAAUUGAAUUGGUGGAAGGAUAUGCACGGCGCAUUACGCGGAUGAAGGAAAUCUGGCCUGGUAUGGCUAGUACUCGUGAAGAAGCGGAUAGAUCCGGUUGCGGAUCAUUGAAUUAUGCAACGAAAUCGAGGUUAGUAAAAUGUGUAUUUCAUGUUGGAUAGGUAUGAAUUGGUAGGUUGAGAAAGACCUACGAAAUGACUGAAUAGGGUAUGUAUGGUAUGGUAUGGGAAGUUUAAUUUUUAACAAUUGACAUAAGAAGAAAGAAUGUCAAUAAAAAGUAAAUUUCAAAAGUUUGAGUGGGAAAUUUUGAAUAUUUAUCACACUUUCGUAUGAUGAAUUUGCACGACAUGUUUACUUAGAUAGAUCAAGUAAUGCAGGAAGUGAAAGUUAUGGUAAUAUAAAACGUAUGAAGCGAUUGAAGGCAACAUAAAGGUAUGCAAAGUACAAGUAACUGUGGAAAACGUAGAAUGAUGUUAACAUGAGAGCUAGGCAAGUAGUUGUGACUAUGAAAUAGUAGUUUUGUUGUGGUAACAAAACAAUAAUAAAUAUUAUACAGUGCAUGUAGAGAAUGUAAUUUUAAGAAAUAAGAUGAAGGUAUUAGAUCCGUUAUGCACGGAUCAUAUGAAUGUAUGUAUGACUACAGGUGGAAGUAGUAUGAAUAUUGACCCGUUAUUAACAGGCUAAGGAAAUGAGAAUAUGUGUAAAGAUGAAGUAUGAAAAGUGUGGACUUGUUAGAAAGAAGUCAAUUAUAUGAAGGGUUAUGAGACGAGAAUAGAUAGUUACUUAGCAUUAUGACGUACCUAUCGAAAUUAAACAUAGAUGUGUAUGUAUAAAUUACGGAUUUAGAUCGUAUAGUCGAUGAAAAUAAUAUGAAUGUUGAGAUGAACAAAAAGGAUAUAUAAUGCACAUGAUAUAUGAGUAUUGGAAUGAUAAAUAAACCACUGGUUAUGAAGCGCGGUAGAAACUAGAAAUAAUCAGUGAGAGUGACACUAAUAAGGACCUUGAGGCGGGUUCUUGAAGAUAGAAGGUUGUCAUUAAAUGGGGUCAUGGUCUUGUUGAUGGGCCGAGAAAGAAAAGAUAGUUAUGUUAGAUGGAAGUGAGAAAGGUUUCGGGGACGAAACCUUCUUUAAGGGGGGUAGAUUUGUAACACCCCAAAAGUUGAAUAAUUAAAUUCGUUAGUAGGUUACCAUAUGUAAUAAAAUGACAUACAACAACCAAGUAAAUAAACCUAGUUAAAUGCCUAAUAAUAAGUUAGGGAAUGAAAUUUGUGGCAACUAUGAUAGUAUGGCAAACUUGAGGGGCUAAGAUGGCCAAAAAGGAAACUUAAUAUAUUAAAACAAAAAAAAUCACACACACACAAGGUGUGUGUGUGCGUACGGUCGCACAAGAGAAAGGGGGAAGAAGGGGUAAACCCUAACCACAAGAAAAUCCAGAAAUUGAAGGUGCUAUGGAGCAAGAAUCGAAUGCAUGAACUUAGUUCCUCUUUAAUCCAUGUACAUUGAACAUAAGGAGCGUGAUCUUGAUGAAAAGAUGGUAUAGGAAUCAUGUCAAAACGGACUCAAGCAUAAAAGGAUAACGGGUCAAGAAAAGGCGAGGAAUCGGAUACGAGCACGGACGCAUACGGUUGUACGAAUCACGGAUUAACCUCACAAGGAGUAGCGAUUCGAAGACCGUGUCACAAGAUGGAUUGUACGGGAAUGUUUACAUAUGUAAUUUAGUGAUGAUAAGUUAUGUUUUUAUAUUUUAAAGUGGACUUUCAAGUAAGACAAAACGUUUAUAAUGAAUGAAAUUUUAGGGUACGUAUUUCCGCUGCGA